UACGUAGGGGGCAAGCGUUGUCCGGAAUCGUUGGGCGUAAAGCGCGUGUAGGCGGUCCGGUAAGUCGGUUGUGAAAGUCCAGGGCUCAACCCUGGGAUGCCGACCGAUACUGUCGGACUAGAGUUCGGAAGAGGCGAGUGGAAUUCCCGGUGUAGCGGUGAAAUGCGCAGAUAUCGGGAGGAACACCAAUGGCGAAGGCAGCUCGCUGGGACGUUACUGACGCUGAGACGCGAAAGCGUGGGGAGCAAACAGG
rnacentral:rRNA from 1 species